AGAAGUAAAGGAUAAACUUUUUUUUUUUCAAACUAUUCUCAUUUUGAGGAAGUUACUUUUCUUGCAUGUCCUAACAAAUGUCGCAAUAAUCUGGGCAGGACUGCAGUCACCGCCGAUUCCAGCCCAGUGACACACAGACAUGUCACAACAUGAACCCUGAGCUCCCAAUUCUGUUUCUGGACCAGGUAUCCCAGGAUCGGUUCCUCGACCUCCUGGCUGUUGACCUGCUUACAGCAAGACGCCAGCUUUUCUGCUGAAGACAAAUGGAAACAGAGAGCUGGCUGAACUGACAAAUGUCUGGAGAAAACGGAUAUUUAAGGCUGAAAAAGCAGAAGUGAUCCUCUGGUAAGGCAUCAUCCUUUUUUUUUCUUUGUCCCUCCUCUCGCUUCAUCUGAAUGAAUGACCUGCUCAUACAGGGGUUUCCAUGGAGUGACCAACAGGAAGCACUUUCAUCAUCUUGUUGCAUUCGGAAAAAUAUAUCACGGUUUUCCUGAUUAUCUGAUCACGGGUUUUGAGGAAAUCCU